CGCGGGAUGGAGCCAGCCUGGUAGCUCGUCGGGCUCAUAACCCGAAGGUCGUCGGUUCAAAUCCGGCUCCCGCAA
rnacentral:tRNA from 1 species